CAGUAGCCGCGGUAAUACGAAAGGGGCUAGCGUUGCUCGGAAUCACUGGGCGUAAAGGGUGCGUAGGCGGGUUUUUAAGUCAGGGGUGAAAUCCUGGAGCUCAACUCCAGAACUGCCCUUGAUACUGGGAAUCUUGAGUAUGGGAGAGGUGAGUGGAACUGCGAGUGUAGAGGUGAAAUUCGUAGAUAUUCGGAAGAACACCAGUGGCGAAGGCGGCUCACUGGCUCAUACUGGACGCUGAGGUGCGAAAGCGUGGGGAGCAAACAGGAUUAGAUACCCCAGUAGUCCCUGUCUCUUAUAC
rnacentral:rRNA from 1 species